AAAACAUAGCUUCUCGAAUUUAUAAGAAGUAAAGUCUGCCCAGUGACAAAGUUAAACGGCCGCAUCAUAGUGCUAAGGUAGCAUAAUCAUUUGCCUUUUUAUUGGAGGCUAGUAUGAAUGGAUCAACGACACUUAACUGUCUCUUAAUAUGAACAUAAAUUUGAUUAAAAGGUGAAAAAUCCUUUAUUCACGUGAUGGACGAAAAGACCCUAUAGAGUUUAAAUAAAAUUCUAAUAGAACAACUUUACAUAUCAAGAAUAUAUUUUUAUUGGGGCAAUAAAAGAACAUACAAACUCUUAAUAAUAAAAUUAUUAUAAUAAUAAUUAUAUCCUCAAAGAGAAUAGAAAAAAACUACCUUAGGGAUAACAGCGUAAUUUUUCCAAAGAGAUCUAAUCGAAGGAAAAUUUUGCGACCUCGAUGUUGGACUAAGGUACCACUUUAGUGUAGAAGCUUAAAAAUGUAAGCCUGUUCGGCUUUUAAUACCUUACAUGAUUUG
rnacentral:rRNA from 1 species